rnacentral:rRNA from 1 species
UACGUAGGGUGCAAGCGUUAAUCGGAAUUACUGGGCGUAAAGCGUGCGCAGGCGGCCUUGCAAGACAGAUGUGAAAUCCCCGGGCUCAACCUGGGAACUGCAUUUGUGACUGCAAGGCUGGAGUACGGCAGAGGGGGAUGGAAUUCCGCGUGUAGCAGUGAAAUGCGUAGAUAUGCGGAGGAACACCGAUGGCGAAGGCAAUCCCCUGGGCCUGUACUGACGCUCAUGCACGAAAGCGUGGGGAGCAAACAGG